GACGAACGCUGGCGGCGUGCUUAACACAUGCAAGUCGAACGAUGAACCCGGAGCUUGCUCUGGGGGAUUAGUGGCGAACGGGUGAGUAACACGUGAGUAACCUGCCCUGGACUCUGGGAUAAGCGUUGGAAACGACGUCUAAUACCGGAUAGGACCUUGGAUCGCAUGAUCUGGGGUGGAAAGUUUUUUCGGUCUGGGAUGGACUCGCGGCCUAUCAGCUUGUUGGUGAGGUAAUGGCUCACCAAGGCGUCGACGGGUAGCCGGCCUGAGAGGGUGACCGGCCACACUGGGACUGAGACACGGCCCAGACUCCUACGGGAGGCAGCAGUGGGGAAUAUUGCACAAUGGGCGAAAGCCUGAUGCAGCAACGCCGCGUGCGGGAUGACGGCCUUCGGGUUGUAAACCGCUUUUAGUAGGGAAGAAGGGCUUCGGCUUGACGGUACCUGCAGAAAAGGACCGGCUAACUACGUG
rnacentral:rRNA from 1 species